GUCAGUAAAAUGAAAAUUAUCGCUACGCGGAAUUUACCGCGUUUUUACCGAACGGAUUGAGUGUGUAGAUUUCUGUUCAGAGCGUUAGUUUAGUAUGAUAGGCGUUUUCUUCUGUUCGAUAGAAUAGGAUGGCUUUUUAUUCGUCGUCAUUUAUUGUUGGAAGACUUGGCCUUACUUGCGCCUUACAUCGCGUCAAAAAUGAUGAAGUUUUGCUUCGACUAUUGCAUGCUAGUCGCGCUAGUUAUAUAACAUUAUAAAAAGGAGGAAUUUACAACAUAGUACACAUGCAUUAUGCCUUAUACAGAACUGG